UACGGGGGGUGCAAGCGUUAUUCGGAAUUAUUGGGCGUAAAGGGUGCGUAGGCGGUUUUGUAAGUCAGAUGUGAAAUCCCGGGGCUUAACUUCGGAACUGCAUUUGAUACUGCAAGACUUGAGUAUGGGAGAGGAGAGCGGAAUUCCUGGUGUAGAGGUGAAAUUCGUAGAUAUCAGGAGGAACACCGGUGGCGAAGGCGGCUCUCUGGACCAAUACUGACGCUGAGGCACGAAGGCGUGGGGAGCAAACAGGAUUAGAACGUA
rnacentral:rRNA from 1 species